GGAGUGUGUCUGAGUGAAGAGUCUGCAUCAGCCUGCCCAGCCGGCCGGUCUGUGAGAGGGGCCCAGGAUCUACUCUAAGCUCAAACUCACUUUCGCCAAGCCGGUGGAAUAACAGGAGGAUUUCCAGGUGGAAACGCCGUCCAGGUUUUCCGACCCUCCUCAUCCCCAGUGAGAAGACUACUUCCAAAUGGGCAAGAUUUCUAAACCUAGACUACUGUGGAUCAGAGCAAAGCACCUGGAAUUCGGUGGCAGAGCUCGCGAGGCUGCCGGGCCCCCGAGAGCGGGG
rnacentral:lncRNA from 1 species